rnacentral:lncRNA from 1 species
UUUUGGCCACAUCUGUGGCACGUGGAAGUUCCUGGGCCAGGGAAUGAACCCAGGCCACAGCAGUGACAAUGCCAAAUUUUUAACCACUAGGCCACCAUGGGCCUCUAGCUUAGAGAGGUUCUUCUGAUAAGAAUUUUCAGCUUUAUCUAGGCGGAUUUUUAGAUGAGAAAACCAAAUGAGUGAAUUUCUAAAAUGCUAAAAUUUCAAAAAUUCACAUAUGUGCAGUUUUUCAGGGAAAAGUAACAUGGAAGGAAGGCAAGAUUUAAGAAUCACAGCUACUGAAGAGUCAAAAAGAAAAAAAAAAAUCUAAUGACAAUCUAAAUGAGCACAGCAAAAAAGACAGAAAUUUUAUUACCUUUAUACUAUUGUUCUGUCCGCAUUAUAACCACCCACAAAAUGAAUACCUAGUCAAAGCCUUCAACAUUCUGAGUCCGUAAAGGAACAACCCAAAAGAUUACAUGACUAUAUUACUAAACCGUAGUUUUGCGAAGAUCAGGCACUAAAUUAGCCACAAAUAAAAAUUUCAUUUUAUGACCAAAUGCAAUUGGUAUAUGUAAUCGGUUGCAUUUCAUUUUCCUGAUGUUAAUUUUUUAAAUGAAAUUUGGCAUUAGAAGGCUAGAGAUGGCUGGCCUUAAAAAAAAGUAUAGGAGUUCCCAUCGUAGCAUGGUGGAGACAAAUCCUACUAGCAACCACAAGGUUGCGGGUUUGAUCCCUGGCCUCACUCAGUGGGUUAAGGAUUCAGCAUUGCCGUGAGCUGUGGUAUACAGGUCUCAGAUUCAGCACAGAUCUGAAGUUGCUGUGGCUAUGGUGUAGGCCGGCAGCUACAGCUCCAAUUCGAACCCUAGCCUGGGAACCUCCAUAUGCCACAGGUACGGCCCUAAAAGGGCCAAAAAAAAAGUGUAAGAGCCAUGACACUACAAUCCAAUUUUGUGGCUUUGUCAAAAUUAAUUUCCAUAUCUAAGUCAAUUUUCCUGAACAGGUAUAUACGUUGGAAGAGAAUGCUUGCCCAAUUCUAUUUUUACAGGUACCUAUGAAUGAAAUGUUUCUUGGUAUUUAACAACUAAACUAAGGAUCCUUUGGCUAUUCUUGUAUGUGCUAUUUAUUGAGGUUGCAAUAAAGCCAAGUUUUUGAAAACAGCAACUUCCUUUCAAAAUAAUCACUGUCAAAGAAAGCAUGAAUAUGCAACGCCUAGGCACAUAGCAAAGCACUGUUUAAAUACUCGUUCAGUACAUAAUUUAACAAAAUUCUACUCAAGACCUGAAUCAAAUACCAUUCCUUCUAUUAAGUCUUUCUGGAGUCCCCAAGCUCCUUCCCCCUUGAGUUCCCGCAGUGUUCAUUAAUUUUUCCACAAGGAGGGCUCUCUGAGGAGGCAGUAUCUGAGCCAUAGGGAGGAGCUGGGAUUUUUACUCCAAGCGCACUGGGAAGCCACCUGAGGGCUCUUAAGCAGAACAUGGCUUACACAAGAUGACUCUGGCUACUAUUAGAGAAGGAAUUCAGGGAGACAGGCAAGGAAAUCAAGAAAGCAAGCUUGGAAGACCAGUGAGACAUGCACGGCGAGAUUUGGCCCAAACUAGAAAUAAAGGAGAAGGAAGCAUUAUAGGACAGAGACAUCAAACAGAGGACACAGGAUUUGCUAGUACAGGUAAGAUGAAAGAGAAAUAUUAUGGGUAUCACCCAGCAUUUUACUGAUUCUCCCAAAGUAGUAUGUGACAUGCUAUAAAGAUCGUCACUGUUGUAAGUCAUGGUCCCGAUGAAUUUACUUUCACACACAAAUGAACAUAUCUUCAGCAUCUCUGAAAAAGGAGAAGGCCACGGAUCUUCAAGUGACAGAGCCUAGUCUGCGCGAAGUUAUCAAGACCUGUACAGUAACCUCUACUCUGCUACCAACCACUUCGAGAGUUUACCCCUAAGAGAAUCAGCAUCUUGUCUGUUAUACCAAGUCAUUCUGUGAAUCAAGAUGUCAGCUAUUAGAAGAUAAAAUAUUAAGAAAGAAAUUACACAAAAAAUUAGGAAUUUUAAAGACAGUAUUUCCAUCUUAUUCUCUGAUGCCAACUUUUUUUUUUUUUUGCUCAAGGCUGCAAUUUUAUAACAUUUCAGGUAUUAAAAAAGGCUUAGAGUAAACACAAUGUUAGAUUUCAAUUCCACAAAUCUUUUUCAAAGCUACAUUCCACGGCUCCUUAAGAGUUACAGAAAGACCAUGCAUUUAAAUCAGGAACAAUAAACAUGUAUUUUUUUUUCCCAAUAGGAAAGUAAACAAUACAUAGCAUGUUCUAUACUGUGUUAAGCACUAAAGAAGUUACGAAUAGAAGGCUUUUUCUCUAAGUUCACCACCCUGGGCUCUAGUCAUCCUGAAAACGCAGGGGUCACUCCCUUCCCCCCCCUGCCAGGUAUUCUGUCACCAUGGCCUAUCAAUUCUACUUCCUAAAAAACUUCUGAAUUCAUUUGUCCCCUUCGCUCACAAUGCUCAAGAGCUUUAAUGUGGGCCCUCCCUAAUUUCUCAUCUGGAUUAUGUCUAACGUAUUUCUGACCACAAUUUGACUCCCUCCCUCCCAAUGCUUCCAGAGGGAAAUUUUUCUAAAUCAAAUCUCAUCCCAUGACUGUUGUGCUUAAGAUACUCCAAAGACUCGUUUCAGGAUAAACGCUGGCUUGGAAGCAUGGCACGAGGGACCCACUAUGAGCUGGCCUCUUUCUCAACACGUGCACUUUCUUUCAAACACUUACAACUUGUUUGUUACGUGUACAAGACCCCAUUCUACUCUGCCGCUGCUAAGGGGGGGCCGUGAAUAUGCACCACAGCACUAACACUUAGGCCAGACUUGGCCAUACACCCACGCCUUGGCACAUGCCCUGUACUUUCCUCCUCCCAAAUACCCCUGCCUGAUACUGUCCUUAAAAUUUAGACAGAAGUGUCACAUCCUCUGGAAAGCCUUUCCUCUCCCACUCAAAAUAGGGACUCUAUAUGGGGAAAGAAUCUGAAAAAGAACGGAUGUGUGAAUAUGUAUAACUGAAUCACUUGGUUGUACAGCAGAAAUUAUCACAACAUUGUAAGUUCAACUAUACGUCAAUAACUUUUUUAAAAAUAGGGACUCACGCUCUGUGUUCUCACCAUAGAUGAUGCAUAUUAAUCUUUCCAACAUCAUAUAAAACCCUUGAAGAGCUGGCACUGUAUCAUUUCAUUUCUCCUAAUUAAGAUGCGCUCAACUUGAGAACUAUGUCUAGAUACUCAUGUUGCAACAGAAGAAAGGGUGGGGGAAAAAAUGUAAUUGUAAUGUAUACAUGUAAGGAUAACCUGCCCCCCUUGCUGUAAAGUGGGAAAAAAAAAAAAAAAAAAAAAGAUGCGCUCAAGGAGUGACUUGGAAAGUAGUGUGCAAUAUUAACUGCAAAAAGUAAAAUCUACAAGCUUUGAAUAAGAGCCCCAAAACAUGCCAGUGAAAGUCCCCUUUUCUGACUUCCAGCGCCCAGAUGGAUCAUCUCGGAGGUCUUCUCCUUUCCAUCUAUAAAACAUACCAUUAGCACUAAAAAACUCAGUUUUAAGCUAUAAACUACUCUGAUCACCCCAUACUCUUCUGCUCCCAGCAUUUAGGCUGGAUACUUAAGUCAGCUAGGUUUGUGACCAAAUGAAUUCAUUCCAACCGUACUUGCAAUUACACAAUUUAAAUAUUAUAUAAAUGGGGAGUUCCCAUCAUGGCUCCAUGGCAACAAACCAGACUAGUAUCCAUGAGAACAAGGGUUUGAUCCCUGGCCUCGCUCACUGGGUUAAAGGAUCUGGCACUGCCAAGAGCUGUGGUGUAGGUCACAAAUGCAGCUCAGACCCUCCAUUGCUGUGGCUGUGGUGUAGGCUGGUGGCUACAGCUCCAACUCAACCCCUAGCCUGGGAACUUCCAUAUGCCCCAAGUGCAGCCCUACAAAAAAAAAGGAGACCAAAAAAAUUAUAUAAAUGGAUACAAUGUGACUAUACAGAAAUUCUAUGAAAAUUAAGUUUCUAUCAAGAUGAGUCACUAAGAAAUUGUGAGAUACACAUAAAAGAUGGGGAAACCACACAUGCCUAGCAGAAUGCUACAUUUGGAAUUCCCUGUGUAUUUCUUAAGUUCUCUCUACUUUAAGAAACCAAAGCUGAAACUUUAAGAUCAAACAGAGGCAUGCUUUAGGAAAAGAAAAAUAAUAAAAUAACACAAAAAAGGUCACAGAAUUAAUACAUAAGUUAUAAAGUAGACUAAAAUGUUCAAAGGUAUGUGUCAUUUUUAAGGAUACCAAACUCUUAACUAGGUCAGUCAAUGAAUCAAAAUCCCCAGUAUAGACCAUAUUACAUUACAAGGGCUUCUACUACAGGGUACAUUUAUAAAAUACUAACUAGCUUUUCUCCUUUCAUAUUCCAUUCAUAAACAGAAAACUUGCUAGGAAUGGGGGGUACUGCUUGCUAAUAACAAUUAGGUGCUGCUGUCAUAGCUCACUGAUGGAGGGAUACAGCAAAAACACUGUGAAUGUCACUGAGAAACAGCAGAUCCAAAUAAUGGCAGUGGACACACUUGUUUUCUGCAAGGCAAGAAAAUCAUUUGGGAGGCAGCAGCUCCAAAUACAUUGAAAAGCAAAACUCCCCUUGAAGACCAUACAGCUAUAUGCCAUUCAUCUUUCUGAGAAACAUUAAAAGGUUUAAAAAAAAAAAGCAAAAAUAUCAAUGUCACCACUAAACUCUGCAUCCCACAUCUAUAUGCGCAUGCAAAGUACAAAUGUAAUCUAACAGCCACAGAACCACAGAAAAUGAGCCAUAUAUCUAAAGCAAGAUAGCUUGUUUUAGAAAACAUGUCAGUGAAAUCUGUUGGAUUAUCCUGCAGGAUUAAAAAAAAAAAAAAAAAAAAAUCUCUUAAAAAAAUGCUGAGUUCUCCUGUGGCGCAGUAGGGAUCCAGCGUUGUCACUGCACUGGCUUGGGUCACGGUCACUGCUGCAGCGCAGGUUCAAUCCCUGGCCCAGGAAUUUCUACAUGGCACAGGCACAACCUCCCAAAAUUUUUAAAUUUAAAAAAAAAAAAAAAAAAAAAGGAGAAAUCACUAGGUUAACUAAUAUGCAGAAAAAGUACCUGAAAGGAGGGGUUUAUUAGAUGCAGUUAUGUAUGCUUAGGCCUGAGAGUAAUCUUUUAAAAAAAUAUUUAUGGUACCAUUUGACUUUAAUUAUCAAUACAUCUUAAAAGCAUAGAAUGCGCAAAAUUCUAUAAAUGUGACUUGGCCAACAAAAAGAGCCUGCCUCUGCCAACAAUAUAGCUGGAGAGAGAGGAGUAAUAAAGAAAAUGAAAAUUCAACAAUUUAGAUAUUCUCAAAACCAUAGGAAAAUAGAAGAAAACCUGGAUGGAAUUUAUAAGGGUCUGUGAAGAGAAAAGAAAAUGAAAUCACAUUGAGCAGGAAGUAAAAACAGGAUUAAGAAACUUGCGAGGGCCCUGGUGGCCUACAGCAAUUAAGGAUCUCGCAGUGUCACUGCUGUGGCAUGGGUCUGAUCCUGGCCCAGGAUCUUGUGUGUGUCAUGGGCAAGGUCAAAAAAAAAAAGAAGCUGAGAAGACAGAAAAUCUUGGAAGGAAACCUGCCUCCUUGUGCAACUGUCUGGGCAUGUCCUAAAGGAGCCUUGGCCUGCUGCUGAGAAGCCCGAAUAAAUUCAACGCUGCCCUCCUCCCCCGCCCCAGCUUUCUGAUGAUACAGAAGGCUAGUUAACAAAAAUAAAGCAAAUGAUUUAUUUAUUUUAAACAGUUUAAAACCAACUGUUUCAGGAAACUGCAUUCUCCAAUUAUCCACAGAUAAACAUUUUCAGAGUCUAGGUUUCAAAGUAUUGCUUAACUGCAAGCAUAAAAAUCACAACAAAAUCUAUGAGGGAAAGUGUAUCAAUGGAUUACAAUCUAUACUAUCCAGGGAAGAUUAACAUAUCCCCAGUUAUAGUCAUAAAGAAUCCAAAUCUCAGAGUUCCCGUCGUUGUGCAGCGGAAACAAAUCCAACUAGGAACCAUGAGGUUGUGGGUUCGACCCCUGGCCUCGCUCAGGGUUAAGGAUCCGGCAUCGCCAUGAGCUGUGGUGUAGCUCGAAGUAUAGGCCAGUGGCCAUAGCUCCGAAUGGACCCCUAGCCUGCGGCUAUAGCUCCAAUUCGACCCCUACCCUAGGAACUUCCAUACGCCACAGGUACAGCCCUUUAAAAAAAAAAAAAAAAAAGGCCAAAAACCAUAUGCAUAAAAUUAAUACUUCAGGAAAAGUUUCCUUCAAAUUGAAUAUCAACCUUCUUCAAAGAAUUACAUGA